GGUAGAAUGGCUGAUGAAAGCAUUAGACUGUAAAUCUAAUUAUGAGGUUAUAUCCCCUCUUUUGCCA
rnacentral:tRNA from 1 species